rnacentral:tRNA from 1 species
ACUUUUGUAGUGUAAUUUUAACACAUUGCAUUUUCGUUGCGAAGCUAAAGAAUUUAUCUUUCUAAAGUA